GAUGAACGCUGGCGGCGUGCUUAACACAUGCAAGUCGAACGAUGAAGCCCAGCUUGCUGGGUGGAUUAGUGGCGAACGGGUGAGUAACACGUGAGUAACCUGCCCUUAACUCUGGGAUAAGCCUGGGAAACUGGGUCUAAUACCGGAUAGGAGCGUCCACCGCAUGGUGGGUGUUGGAAAGAUUUAUCGGUUUUGGAUGGACUCGCGGCCUAUCAGCUUGUUGGUGAGGUAAUGGCUCACCAAGGCGACGACGGGUAGCCGGCCUGAGAGGGUGACCGGCCUCACUGGGACUGAGACACGGUCCAGACUCCUACGUGCGGCAGCAGUGGGGAAUAUUGCACGAUGGGCGCAAGCCUUAUGCAGCGACGCCGCGUGCGGGAUGACGGCCUUCGGGUUGUAAACCUCUUUCAGUAGGGAAGAAGCGAAAGUGACGUUACCUGCAGAAGAAGCACCGGCUACCUACGUG
rnacentral:rRNA from 1 species